rnacentral:lncRNA from 1 species
GGGGCAGUGUGAGAUGACGGGACCAGAGCACGUUCCUGGCUGCAGAGGCCACAAGUCACGCUGUCUCUGAGAGUGGAAUGUCACCAUCGCCCAGGUCCUCCCAGCAGCUCCUGCAAACAGACCCCCGACCCAAGCCCUUCCUUCUGCCUCCACUGCCACCACUGCUGCUCAUCUCUGCUGGCACAGAAGUCUCUUCCCUGGUCUUCCAGAAAUCCCCUCUCCACACUCAGCCAGAGGGAGCUAUUAAAACUGUGGGCCAGCCCACAUCAGUCCACAGCAAAGUCCUCUCUAAGGGAUCUCUGUUGCUUGGAGAAUAAACCCUCGGAUUCCUUCCUUGGC